rnacentral:lncRNA from 1 species
CAUUUCACAAUGAAUGAUUGAGUGAUAAUUUAUUUUUUGGUGUUUCCUUAAGUUUUUGUGUAAUGAAUGUUUCGAGAAACGCGACUUUGAUACCAACUGUAAAGGUCUGGAACUUAAAAGAAAAUAAAAUUAUAAAUUAAAUGCGAAAAAUAAAAUAAUAAAGUUAGGAUUUACAUUCCUUACACAAUAAUUUAGAAUACUUAAUAAGGUUAUGAGAAUGUCCAUUCUAAAAGAACAAACGAAAAUCAAAGAAUUAAACGACAAGUAAAUAACUGAGUAUCCUAUGACGACAUUCACUAGCUUUUGAAGAAGUCCGGGUGGUGAACUAUUUACAACCAUCUUGUUGCUUGGGAUAUAGAUCUUGGUUCUCUUGAUCUGAAAUAGUUAAUGAAAAUGUGACCUAGACUAAUCCAGUAAGAAUAUCAUACUACUCAUCAAUACAUAAAUUGAAGAUCGGUAAAAAUCAUAAAAAUAACUAGUGAAGCUCUUAAUUUAAGUAAAAUCAUUUAUUGCAUAGUUACUGUU